rnacentral:rRNA from 1 species
UACAGAGGGUGCAAGCGUUAAUCGGAAUUACUGGGCGUAAAGCGCGCGUAGGUGGCUUCGUAAGUCCGUUGUGAAAGUCAAAGGCUCAACCUUUGAAAGCCGAUGGAUACUGCGGAGCUAGAGUACGGAAGAGGCGAGUGGAAUUCCUGGUGUAGCGGUGGAAUGCGCAGAUAUCAGGAGGAACACCAAUAGCGAAGGCAGCUCGCUGGGACGUUACUGACACUGAGGCGCGAAAGCGUGGGGAGCGAACAGG